ACUCAAUAGAUACCCUGGUAGUCCCAGCAGUAAACGGUGCGCGUUUGGUGUGAGCAGAUUCGACUCUGUUCGCGCCGGAGCUAACGCGUUAAACGCGCCGCCUGGGAAGUACGAUCGCAAGAUUAAAACUCAAAGAAAUUGACGGGGGCCCGCACAAGCGGUGGAGUAUGUGGCUUAAUUCGAUGCAACGCGAAGAACCUUACCUGGGUUUGACAUGCAUCUCUAAGGAGGUGAAAGCUUCCGAGGGUAGCAAUACCCGAUUUGCACAGGUGCUGCAUGGCUGUCGUCAGCUCGUGUCGUGAGAUGUUGGGUUAAGUCCCGCAACGAGCGCAACCCUUGUAUGCUGUUGCUAUGCUUACGCAUAGCUCUCUGCGUAGACUGCCCCGUGAAACGGGGAGGAAGGUGGGGAUGACGUCAAGUCAGCAUGGCCCUUACACCCAGGGCUGCACACGUACUACAAUGCUCAGUACAAUUAGAACCUG
rnacentral:rRNA from 1 species